GGGGGCCCAUGCUGAGAUGUUGGAUAGCUUGCUCUAAGGCUUAGGGGUGGGUCUGGAGCUUGCUGGACAGGGCCUGCCAACAGUCGUGUUUGUAGGUCCCAUGGUGGUGGCCAACUUGCUGGAGUAGCCUUCUGUGCCACCUCUUCCUCUUGGUCUGUGUGGUGGGGCCCUGYCUUUCAGGACGGGUGACCUUUCCUUAAUGCACGCGGCCAAACUGGACUGCGUAGUCUUUUCUUUUCUUUUCUUUUCUUUUCUUUUCUUUUCUUUUCUUUUCUUUUCUUUUCU
rnacentral:lncRNA from 1 species